UUUUUUAAAUAAAUAAGGAGGGAAAGAGGGAGAGAAAGAAAGAUGAAAGAGAGGGAGAAAAGUUAAGGACAGCAGUUGCCCGUCUGGCUGCUGUGAAGAGAGGGACAUUUGGGGACAUGGUGUCACCUGUGGAGAAGACAUGGGUCUUGUGUCUACUGCUUAACAGCUGGUGGACUUGGGUAAAGCAGUCCAUUUCAUGCUGUGUGAAAGGGAUGAAUGACAGUAAUAGCACUUUCCUUUCUUGUGGUGUUCUGUGAAGACAAGAAGCUGUACUUUGCACACUGUGUGCCUCAAAGCACCACCCAGUAAAUGCAGGCUCAGUAGGAAAUAAGGACACUUAAGAGUUCCCCUAGGCUUGAACAGGAAGCCCUGUGUGAUAAAGACGGGGACCUGGCAGUGAGAGGAGCAGGGGCAGAGCGCUGGCUGCUUUUCUCCAUAAAUCUGGAGCCAUCAGGAACUGUACUGCUAUUCCGGACUUAAUUGCUCUGAGCUGACUAAGGAAAUGUGGAAACACAGAGAGGAAAAUACACUGUAACAUCGAAGCUUCCUCCAAUAUGGUGGGGAACCUGGGUCACGUGCAUGACAGAGCAGGUGUCCUAUCCAGGUGCACCAUCACAUGGCCCUAACACUGGGAUAUUACUCUGUGCUAUUAAGAAAUAAAAUGACCAAAGCAACGAUUGCUACCUCAACAUGCUUCACCUCAGAAUGUAUCCAGAGACUUCACGUGUGGAAUGACAACCCUUCAGCUUCAUUACUCGGGUGAGACCUUUCCUUUAAUAGUACACUCUAAUUUCAUCUCAGGUAGUUCACUUUCUAACAAAGUCCCAUAACCUAGAUAUACACCAGUUUCUAUGAGAGAGAGCUUAUGUGCACACGUAUCCAUAAACUACUGCAAAAUAUAUACCUGAAAGCAGGACUACACUGGAGUUUGCAGUGAGUACCUCCCUAACACUUCCUCUCCACUAUUCCAAGCUUGGGAUCCAUGAUUGCUCAACAAAUUGUUUGGCUUCAUAUGUUAACUCUCUUUUCAAUCACCAGGUUCCAGAUGCCACCAGGAUGCUGGCUAGGCUUCCCUGGAUUGAAGACCCCACCAAUGUGUCCUGGAGCUCAGCUUCCCCAGAGUCACACCCUACUAGGGAAAGAGAGAGGCAGACUGGGGGUAUGGACCGACCAGUCAACGCCCAUGUUCAGCGGGGAAACAAUUACAGAAGCCAGACCUUCUACCUUCUGCAACCCUCAACGACCCUGGGUCCAUGCUCCCAGAGGGAUAGAGAAUGGGAA